GAUCUUCGGACCUCGCGCUAUUGGAUGAGCCCGCGUCGGAUUAGCUUGUUGGUGAGGUAACGGCUUACCAAGGCGACGAUCCGUAGCUGGUCUGAGAGGACGAUCAGCCACACUGGGACUGAGACACGGCCCAGACUCCUACGGGAGGCAGCAGUGGGGAAUAUUGGACAAUGGGCGCAAGCCUGAUCCAGCAAUGCCGCGUGUGUGAAGAAGGCCCUAGGGUUGUAAAGCACUUUCAGUUGGGAAGAAACGCAUGGUGUUAAUACCACCCUGUAAUGACGUUACCGACAGAAGAAGCACCGGCUAACUCCGUG
rnacentral:rRNA from 1 species